GUCUUAUUGAUAUUAAUUUUAAGUCUGACCUGCCCAAUGAUAGCAAUAUUUAAUGGCCGCGGUAUUUUGACCGUGCAAAGGUAGCAUAAUCACUAGUUUUUUAAUUGAAAGCUUGUAUGAAAGGUCUGAUGAGGGAAUAGCUGUCUCUAUUUAAAGUUUUGAAAUUUAUUUUUAAGUAAAAAAGCUUAAAUAAUUAUAGAAGACGAGAAGACCCUAUAGAGUUUUAUAUUAAUAUAAAUAAGUAAAAUUUUAGAAUUAUUCUAUGUAUUUAUAAAAUUAUUUUGUUGGGGUGAUGGAAAAAUUAAUUAAACUUUUUUUGUAGUAAAUCACUGAUUGGUGAGUAGUUGAUCCUUUGUUUAAGAUUAAAAGAUGAAAUUACCUUAGGGAUAACAGCGUAAUUUUUUUUAGAGUUCUUAUCGAAAAAAAAGAUUGCGACCUCGAUGUUGGAUUAAAAGGAAUUAUUGGUGUAGAAGCUAAUAAAUUAGGUCUGUUCGACCUUUAAAAUUUUACAUGAUCUGAGUUUAAACCGGCGUAAG
rnacentral:rRNA from 1 species